UUGAAUCCAAACAGACCGCUUUUCCUCACGACUUCCGUUUCCGCGUUUUCUCCUUCACGCGGAAAUCGGAAGUUUUCAGACAUCGAUUCCAGAUUUCGGAGGAAAAGAAAUUAAAAAAACGCGGUUUUGAAUCUGAAAGUCGGUAAUUCUUCUUUUCUCCGAUCAAUUUCCUGGAAAUCGAAAGGAUGGGAACGCCGGAAUUCCCGAAUCUUGGCAAACACUGCAGCGUCGACGAUUGCAAGCUCAUUGAUUUCUUGCCUUUCACCUGCGAUCGAUGCAAUCAGGUAUUCUGUUUAGAGCAUAGAAGUUACACUAAACACCUAUGUCCCAAUGCCAACCAACAAGACGUCACUGUCCUAGUCUGCCCGCUCUGUGCUAAAGGUGUUCGCCUGAUAUCUGAUCAAGACCCUAAUAUUACUUGGGAGUUGCAUGUUAAUACCGACUGUGACCCAUCAAAUUACCAGAAAGCAACGAAGAAAAAGCGGUGUCCUGCCCCUGGCUGCAGAGAAACACUAACAUUCUCAAACACAAUCAGAUGCAGAGACUGCACCCUAGAGCAUUGCCUGAAGCACCGAUUUGGGCCUGACCACAAGUGUCCAGGACCUAAGAAACCCGAAUCGGGAUUUCCAUUUAUGGGUCUUCUAAGGAGGAGUCAGAAGGAUGAUUCAAGAUCAGUCAACAGUCCAGCUGCGUCGCCCCGGUGGGCUACAAACUUUCUCACUGCGGCUUCGAGUGUUCGUGCAUCUGCUGAAGCUGGUAUGGCAAAAUUGAGUAUAGCAACUACCCAAGCAUUGCAGAAGGCAAAGGAUGGGAUGGCGCAGAGCAGCAGCGGUGGUGGACUGGUGGAGGAGUGUGUUCAGUGUCCGGCGAGGUUCUCCACAGUUACAGCUCUGAUAGAGCAUGUCGAGAAAGUUCAUGAAGGUGGUGGCCGAGCCGGUCCUAAGAAGGUAACCAUUGAUGUCUGUCCCAAGUGCAGUAGAGGGUUCCGAGAUGCGGUUGCUUUGGUGGAGCAUGUAGAAAGAGACCAUGGCGGAACUUCAACUGCUUAAAAGCGAUGCUGAUCGAACUGGAUUGUUUUAGUCCUAUCCAUUUCAUUUUGAGCAGGUUGCAUCAGUCCUCUACUAUACAUCCGAGAUUUCGAACCGUGCAAUAUGACUUCAUGCAGAGAAAGCGACGACGUGCAACCAUUCGAAGGCCCCACCCAUAACUGCAUUGCGGUUGUUGCAGAUUUUCAAGCUGCAUAUGUUUGCCUGGAACAUUUGCGACUUCACUACCAUUGUUUCUCCCACUGGUAAUUCACUUACCAUUUAUACACCUGGGAAUUAAGUUAGCACCAUUCCAUGCCUAAAAAUGUAGCUGGUUAUACAACUACGGUAACAUCACGACCCCAGUGUGCAAAGCAAACGCUGAGAGUUGGUGUGCAUGUUGUCUCCGACCAUUAAAAAGACAUUCUGUAGGAGCUAGCAAUAAUUAGAAAAUGCGAAUUUCAGAUGGUUCUUUUGAAUGCA